rnacentral:rRNA from 1 species
GAUGAACGCUGGCGGCGUGCCUAAUACAUGCAAGUCGAGCGAACAGAUGAGGAGCUUGCUCCUCUGACGUUAGCGGCGGACGGGUGAGUAACACGUGGAUAACCUACCUAUAAGACUGGGAUAACUUCGGGAAACCGGAGCUAAUACCGGAUAAUAUAUUGAACCGCAUGGUUCAAUAGUGAAAGACGGUUUUGCUGUCACUUAUAGAUGGAUCCGCGCCGCAUUAGCUAGUUGGUAAGGUAACGGCUUACCAAGGCAACGAUGCGUAGCCGACCUGAGAGGGUGAUCAGCCACACUGGAACUGAGACGCGGUCCAGACUCCUACAGGAGGCAGCAGUAGGGAAUCUUCCGCAAUGGACGAAAGCCUGACGGAGCAACGCCGCGUGAGUGAUGAAGGUCUUCGGAUCGUAAAACUCUGUUAUUAGGGAAGAACAAAUGUGUAAGUAACUAUGCACGUCUUGACGGUACCUAAUCAGAAAGCCACGGCUAACUACGUG